rnacentral:rRNA from 1 species
AUUGAACGCUGGCGGCAUGCCUUACACAUGCAAGUCGAACGGCAGCACGGGUGCUUGCACCUGGUGGCGAGUGGCGCACGGGUGAGUAAUACAUCGGAACAUGUCCUGUAGUGGGGGAUAGCCCGGCGAAAGCCGGAUUAAUACCGCAUACGCUCUACGGAUGAAAGCGGGGGACCUUCGGCCCUCGCGCUAUAGGGUUGGCCGAUGGCUGAUUAGCUAGUUGGUGGGGUAAAGGCCUACCAAGGCGACGAUCAGUAGCUGGUCUGAGAGGACGACCAGCCACACUGGGACUGAGACACGGCCCAGACUCCUACGGGAGGCAGCAGUGGGGAAUUUUGGACAAUGGGCGAAAGCCUGAUCCAGCAAUGCCGCGUGUGUGAAGAAGGCCUUCGGGUUGUAAAGCACUUUUGUCCGGAAAGAAAUCCUUGGCCCUAAUACGGUCGGGGGAUGACGGUACCGGAAGAAUAAGCACCGGCUAACUACGUG